UAGAUUGCUAAUCAGCAGAUAUUGAAUCAUCAUGAGAAACAACAUUAGAAAAAGGAAAAACACUACAUUGAACUGAAGAUAACAAAUUAGAAACUCCUUUAACUGACUCAAAAAGAUACAGCCCUCUAGACUCUCUACCAAUCCUCUUAAUCAUGUCAUUUGAGAGAUCCUGUAAGAGACAAAAGUCAAGAUAAAACACGAUGGAACAAUUAAGUUCUUUGGAAAGUUUAGACACUGAAAGCAGAUUGUGAGAAAAAUUCAGAACAAGUAAGAAAUUCGUAAUGAGGUGAUCAUGGGUCAACCUAUAAGAACCUAUAUAGGUAAUAGUAUAUGUUUUACCAUUUUGUAGAUGAACAUAACAAGGUGUAGCACAUGAAACAAGAAAUAACAAACUCUCAAAAUCAGAUAAGAUAUGACCUAUAGCCCUUGUAUCCAAAAUCCAACAAAGAGAUCCAUUAGUAGCAGGUAAACAUCUAGAAAUCGUACUUGCAAGAUUCACAAUGGAACCCUUCAAAGGAGCCUUGUUGAUGAGACUCAUAAUUUGGUAAAGACAAGGCAAUAGAAGUAACCGAUGAACCAAGGUCAGAAGUUGACUGAUCAGUUACCUCUGAAUUGAUGGCCAUAACUGCUUGUGGAAUUUUCUUCUUUGUGAACUUAAAAUCUGAGGGGAAACUAAUCAGUUGGUAGUAAUUAUCAUGACGAUGGCCCUUAAUUUUGUAGUAGUCACAAACCCCAUUAUAUCGGUAGUGAUCUAAACUUCUAAAGGCAUUUGAAAACAUUGUAGUCGUCUCCACAAUAGGAACUCCAGACAAGUGAACACGUGUGCUUCCUCUUGUACUAUCAUCGAAUAUGCUUGAUUUACUGAAGGAAGUGGUUGCAUAAGCAAAAUCUGACUCUACUGAACCAGAUGUGCAUGAUUCAAUUGAGAAACCUCACAAUCGCAUGAUGCAAACGGGACCAAAACACUAUACUCAUCCCAUAAAAUUUUGAGACGUGUGAAGUAAAUAGAAACAGUAGACUUACCUUGGUUAAGAGUUGCAAUCGAUCGAGAAGGAAGAAAAUCCUUGACCCAUUAACUUUGUCAAAGCGUUCCUUCAAAUCUUGCCACGCUAACGCCACACUGGAAGCAAACACAAUCCCAACCGAAAGUUCUUGAUUCACGGUGUUGAGUAUCUAGGAUAACACGAUUGCAUUGCAUCUCUUCCAUUGUGGAUGCAAUGCCAGCUCAUAAUCGUCUUUGUGAUAGUUUCAUCAAUGAAUCCCAGCUUGUUUUUUUACAAGAAGGGCAAUCCGCAUCGAUUUGCUCCAUAUAUAUAGUUUUUCAAAUGCACAAGCUAAUGAGAGACCAGAUGCACUCUUGGCGUAUCUAAGGGGUGCAGAAACAAUGGAUGAUUGAAAUCAACGAUGCCUUCCAUGCUUCACGCCUGAAACCUUAAUUGAACUCAAUGAAAAAAAAACACAAUUGAGGGAAUCUGAUUAGGAAAUCUGAAGGAAAAAACUUGCUCUGAUACCAUGUUAAAAAUUGAGAAACCUAAAAAAUUCAUUUGAUUUUUGAUUCAUAUAUCUUACAAAAUGAUUUACAAAAAUAUAUACAGUUUAUCAAACUAUCAUCCAAGAAAAAGAAAAAAUUGUCAUCUGCUAACUAACUCUAACUAAUUGAAACUAACAAACUAACUAUUUGUUUCAACAGAAACUUGAUUUAUAUUAUGAUUCACGCAUGAUCUCUUAUCUCCUUAUUCACUUUGAUGUUUGAUUUUAAGUAUUGGGAAAACUCUCAAAUUUGGCUGAGUAGAGAAACGGAUCAAAGGCUCUAUAUAUAGUACUUUUAUAAGAAAC
rnacentral:lncRNA from 1 species